GAUGAGAUUGGAGGCGACAGACGUUGAGCGGCCACCGUCAGCGGUAGAAGAGAGCACCGGUGAGGCCAAGCCUCUUAGCGGAGGUGAAGGAGGCAACAUGGAAGACUCGGAGGAGGUUCGUAGGUUGUGGUGUUGCUGCGGCUUUGGGUUCGUGUUGUGUGGCGCUUCAUUCCCUUUUCCUUCUUAUUCAUUCCCUUCUCUUUGCUGAUUCUUCCAUCUCCAAACUCAGGUUCUCCUUUUCUUAAAUUUCAGUUGUUAUGUUUUGUAUUUUUCAUCUUCUGGGCCUUGUGAAUCUCUGAUUGUUGUUUGCUUCUUGCAGGCGGUGGUGCUGCGAUCUACUCUUCUUCCUUCCCUUCUCUUUCCUGAUUCUUCAUCUCCCAGCCCAGACGGUGGUGAAAUGAUCUGGGAUUUAGGGUGUCGCUUUGCAUCACCUCCAUAGGUCUGCCGCUCUUUCGAUCAUCAGGAUUUGGUCAGGACAUUCUUCCUUCCAAGAUUAUGGUGGCUUCUACACAACCUUGAUGCUGGUCUGGAUUCAGGCUUGCUGAUCCCUUGGCCUAUGGAAUUGUCAAUCCUUUCUUUCUUUGGCUUAAUAUUAGCAUCCAUGUUUGCUAAUGAGAUUUAGAUUUGGCUACCCUGCUAUACUCCUACCAUUCUUGGUUUCUUUGCUUUUCUUUAUUAUGAUUUUCCCCCUGCUAUUAAGGA